UACGUAGGGUGCAAGCGUUAAUCGGAAUUACUGGGCGUAAAGCGUACGCAGGCGGCUUUGCAAGACAGGUGUGAAAUCCCCGGGCUUAACCUGGGAACUGCGCUUGUAACUGGCAAGCUAGAGUGUGGCAGAGGGGGGUGGAAUUCCACGUGUAGCAGUGAAAUGCGUAGAGAUGUGGAGGAACACCGAUGGCGAAGGCAGCCCCCUGGGCUAACACUGACGCUCAUGCACGAAAGCGUGGGGAGCAAACAGG
rnacentral:rRNA from 1 species